rnacentral:misc_RNA from 1 species
GCAAACUUGGUCAUUUAGAGGAAGUAAAAGUCGUAACAAGGUUUCCGUAGGUGAACCUGCGGAAGGAUCAUUAAAGAUUUUUGGCCCUCGAGCCGAUACUCUUUGGCUGUGCGCUUUGGCUGCACGCCAUGGAACCUCACACACCUGUGCACAUCUCGGUUGUGGCUCGCUCACACGAGCCGCUCCCGCCUUUCACAUCAAACCACCAGUCCAGAAUGUACAAAACCGUAAAAGUAACAACUUUCAACAACGGAUCUCUUGGCUCUCGCAUCGAUGAAGAACGCAGC